UACGAAGGGGGCUAGCGUUGUUCGGAAUCACUGGGCGUAAAGCGCACGUAGGCGGAUUUUUAAGUCAGGGGUGAAAUCCCGAGGCUCAACCUCGGAACUGCCUUUGAUACUGGAGAUCUUGAGUCCGGAAGAGGUAAGUGGAACUGCGAGUGUAGAGGUGAAAUUCGUAGAUAUUCGCAAGAACACCAGUGGCGAAGGCGGCUUACUGGUCCGGAACUGGACGCUGAG
rnacentral:rRNA from 1 species